UCGAGAUUUUUUUUUUCUUCUUCUUCUUCUGAGGAAAUUAACCGAUCUCGCUUUUUUUGUUUAAAUUUCGAAUAACGAAACGAGUGUUUCGUAUAAAACCAGUACUAAAUAUUCUUUUGUUAAUAUUUAUGGUUAUCAUCAAAGUCCCGUGUUGAUUUUUGAAAUUUAAGACCCACUCGAAUAAUAAAUUGAUGUAUUUUUGUUAAUUUUUAAAUUAUUUUUUGUUUUUUGACUUCUGAGAAAUCGAGCUUUAAUGAUCUUUAUAUGACAGUAGUCUUUAUGAAUAAGGAAAACUUUUGAAUGAUGGACGGUUGAGGAAAUAUUACCAGGGUUUUUUUUUUAAUUUGUAAUGUUUAUUCCGGUUUUUAAUUUGGUUUUAAUAAAAAUAAAUAACCCAUAAAGAAUGACCUUCGAUCUGGUGAAGUGGCUAACCCGCAUUCAAAAAAAAAAAAAAAAAAAAUUAAUAGUCUUUCAUUUCUGUGUAAAGAGGAGCCUUGUUAAGUUCGUACAGGAAAAAUCCUUUAAUUCUAUAAAUAAAGACGAGAUUUUUUUUUAAAUUAUUUUUUUAUUAAAAUUUCGGAGUGUUUUUUUUUUUUCCUUUUAUAGAUGCCACGUUACACGGCAGAAUACGUGGAAACGGGAUGGAGGAUACACAACAGAUAAUUGUCGUCUCACCAGGACAGGUGAAAGCUAUCCUUGUUAAUUAGUAGUGUGUGGCGAACGGAAGGAAAGGGCUAGAGAACGGAAAUUAUCCCGCUGUUUCCUGUGUUCCCAACUAGUGUAAACAAGUAGGGAUGUGAGAAUUAGUAUUUGUUUCUGUAUCUUACAUCUCAUCUCGUCCCGUCGUCCUUCACCUGCUGUACGAAUCGCAGAUGUCUUCCUUUUUAGCCUACGGAGCGACCCACGUAAAAAUCAUUAUCCGCCAGAAGUUAUAAAUGUCCUCUGAUCCUUUAUCUGACUGUCGAAUCUGCAAAUAUCCAUACGUGUGACGAAACGUUUCGUAACACAAAUUGAAAAUGACGCAACUUAUAUUAGAUAUAAGCUGCGGCUAGAUGAUUUAUGUCAUCUAUUUAUUCUUAGCAUUUUUUGACGAGAUGACGACAACUGAUAAAGCAGAUUGGGUAGAAAUUGCAUUUUUAUCGAGCUUAACCAAAUCUGUUUCAAAAGUUUGGUGUUCUAGACACGACUCUUCCGAACGUUGUCCAAAAUGUGACGUAAUUAUUGGAAGUAGGGUAGAAGCGCGCCUGAUUUUUUUUUAUUUUUUUUUAUUUUUUUUUUUUGGAAAACUUGGAAAGAGUAUCUCUUCUAAAGGUUAAACGGAAUCGGAUAAUCCGGAUAAAGCCUCGGUGAGGAAGGAAAGGCAGUGGUAUUUCCGUUGUUACCACAGAAUAUUCUUCCAGAAAAUCCAACUACCGUACAGAUGAAGCCAUUUUCAAGGAAUCGGAGAACGUUUACUGGUUUUAAGAUAGAUGAAAAAUUAAAAGACACUCUCCUCCGAUCGGUGCCAGUCACCCAAAAGCCGUUAGAAUCACACACAGCAAGCAGAUGGUCGGAUUUGCAACACGUGUUGAGAACACCCCCUCUCCGCUCCAUAUGUUGAUUGCACAUUUAAUUGCAUUUUAUCCCGUAAGUUUCUUCUCCCCAUUGGAUACAUAAACGGUCCAAAAGCAAUAAUGGGCACAGGAGGCGAGACCAUAGCGACCCGUUAAGACGUCGGCAACUGGCAGAGAGGAAAAGGAACCGUUAGGCCCCCAUUGUUGUCGGCUGGCACGUGCCUGCUGUCUCAAGUCAUUAAGGGAGUCAGUGGCUCGUGGCCUACCACCUCCCCGUCGACCACCUGGCCCUGCGGGUACAAGGCCCCCAGCCAGACGGAUGGCGUGUCUCAAGACCUCAUCCAUUAUCUUCGGAUGUUUCGACUAAUUAAAUAUGCAUUUCAGACGCGUGUCCGGAAGACAGAAAAAGUAACACCAGGUAUACCGGGUGACGUCAUCGGCCGAGCAAGUGAUUGUUUGCAAACACGGAACACACAGACAUACACAUACACACACAAACACACCACACACACUUAUCGUUACAAAGUUGUCGGUG
rnacentral:lncRNA from 1 species